rnacentral:tRNA from 1 species
AGGAAUAUGAAGCUCAAAUGAAAGCUGCUAACUUUUUAUUUUAAUGGUUAGAAUCCAUUAAUAUUCCU